rnacentral:rRNA from 1 species
UACGGGGGGGGCAAGCGUUGUUCGGAAUUACUGGGCGUAAAGGGCUCGUAGGUGGCCAACUAAGUCAGACGUGAAAUCCCUCGGCUUAACCGAGGAACUGCCUGUCAAACUGCAUGGCUUGAGACCGGGAGAGGUGAGUGGAAUUCCCAGUGUAGCGGUGAAAUGCGUAGAUAUCAUUUGGAACGCCAACGGUGAAAACAGACAGCUGGGGGUGUCCUGACGCUGAGACGCGAAAGCCAGGGGAGCGAACGGG